rnacentral:rRNA from 1 species
UUCGGUUGAUCCCGCCGGAGAGCACUGCUAUCAGGGUCCGACUCAGCCAUGCGAGUCAGAGCGAAGUCAAAUAACCGCGCGUGCGCGCGCGGCAAGACGCAUUCGCUCGGCGUACUGCUCAGUAACACGUAGCUAACGUACCGUUUCGUGAGGAAUAACCUCGGGAAAGUUCUGUAGAAGUCUUAAGAAAAAAAUCAGGUCCUAAAAGGUGAAAUGAAAGAAAAUCGCGCGCAUUUGCCUUUAGAAAUUUAUUUGCAGAGUGCACUUGCAAUCGUGCGCGCUUUCUCAACGAAAAUUCAUCUUCUGCAGUUCCCCGAAACUGAGAAUAAUACCCCAUAGGUGGAGGAUGCUGGAAGGCGCCUCCGCUGAAAGCAGCAAUGCGCGAAACGAUCGGGCUGCGGCCGAUUAGGCUGUUGUCAGGGUAAAGCUGAAUCGAUGCCUAAAAUGGAAGGAUGAGAACAAAGCCAAGGAAAUUCUGGGAAAAUGAAUCCUGAGAAAUGCGCGACGCUUUGCAAAGUGAAUUAAAUUAGCGCGCAUUUCGCCUUUGCUCCCUUGUUCCCCAACUAGUGUAGAAAAGUGUCUAGCAAGAAAUCAAGUGGCAUUGGAUCUUUACAAACCUGACAAACCUUUUGAUCGGUACGGGCCAUGAGAGUGAUAGCCCGGAGAGAGGUAGCUAACUACCUCCGGAGAUGCACUCUGAGACAUUAGUGCAGGCCUUCCGGGCGGCAGCAGGUACGAAAACUUUCCAUGCGCGAAAAGCGUGAGAGCGGGGACCCUGAGUGGCUGCAGUUUACUGCAGUCUUUUGUCGAGUGUAAACAGCUCGGCGAAUAAGGGGUGGGCAAUACGGGUGCCAGCCGCCAUGUUGGCAGCGGCAAACGUAUCGUAUAAUCGCGUUGCCAUCACGGUAAACGGUAAUACCCGAGCCCCGAGUGGUGCUCACGAUUAUUGGGCCUAAAAUAAGGCAGGCGCAGCCUGCCCUAUGGGCAUAGCACGCGUAGCCGGAUCGAUAAGUCUCUGGUGAAAUCCUGCAGCAAACUGUAGGAAGUGCCAGAGAUACUAUCGGUCUAGGGACUGGUAGAGGUCUGGAGUACGUUGGAGGUAGGGGUAAAACAUUUCUGAAGUGUAAAAUAACGAGCCGCAAGAAUAUUGUUUUUUUGCGGCGAGCAAUUUGUCAUUUCAGAAAUUUACAGUCCUUUAAUCUCCAACGGACUACCUGUGGCGGACGCUUUUUGUCGAGGCAAAAAGUUUCCAUAUAAGGCGCCAGACUAGGACAGAUCCGACGGUGAGGCGUGAAAGCUGGGGGAGCAAUCGGGAUUAGAUACCCCGGUAGUCCCAGCCGUAAACGAUGCCCGCUUGGUGUUGCUGGUCCUUCGUGGACCUGCAGUACCGUAACGAAGGUGUUAAGCGGGCCGCCUGGGAAGUACGGCCGCAAGGCUGAAACUUAAAGGAAUUGGCGGGGGAGCACUACCAGGGGUGGAGGCUGCGGUUCAAUUGGAUUCAACGCCGGA